rnacentral:rRNA from 1 species
AUCGAACGCUAGCGGCGGGCCUAACACAUGCAAGUCGAGCGCAUACCUUCGGGUAUGAGCGGCGGACGGGUGAGUAACGCGUAGGUCAUCUACCCUUUGGUGGGGGAUAACCCAGGGAAACUUGGGCUAAUACCGCACGAGGUCCACGGAUCAAAGCCUUCGGGCGCCAGAGGAUGAGCCUGCGUCGCAUUACCUAGUUGGUGGGGUAACGGCCCACCAAGGGGACGAUGCGUAGCUGGUCUGAGAGGAUGAUCAGCCACACUGGGACUGAGACACGGCCCAGACUCCUACGGGAGGCAGCAGUGGGGAAUAUUGCGCAAUGGGGGGAAACCCUGACGCAGCCACGCCGCGUGGGUGAUGAAGGCCUUCGGGUUGUAAAGCCCUGUCGGGAGGGACGAAUUCUUGACGGUACCUCCAAAGAAAGACACCGGCUAACUCCGUGCCAGCAGCCGCGGUAAU